AUCCCAAAAGCUAAAAUUAACCUAGAUUAAGUCAUUUUAACAGCAGUUGCCUUAGAAAGGCUACCUUUUGUCUAGUGUAAAAGCUCUGCUACCUUCCCUAGUGUUGUAGUAUCGAUUCCUUUGUGUAAAACAUGUUUACCAUUUAUACCAUUUAGCAUACAACCUCUGUAAGAGAAGUGGCUGCAAAAAGUUCAACCUUGCCCGACAAGGUGAAAUAUUGCAAGAGUCUCUUUGUUUGUCCUCUAAAUUAGUAGAUUUGUUGCUUAAUGCAGUUUUCAGCAUGUAUUCAAGUUAUUUCCAUCUGUUUUCUACUUAAGAGUCUUAUUUACAUCUUGAUCUGGUUAACUUAAUAGAUCUAUUUUCAUUAAGAACAACCUGGAAUCAAGGAAAUCAUUUAAAAGGGCUUUUGACUCCCUUCAUUCGAACAUAUAAGAUUAUGAAUUGAAAGUCCUUGUUCACAAGGCAAGAAAAUGAACUUAGUACAGACUUAACUCAUCUGCGACAAUCAUUUGAUAACAAGAAGUUUGAGUAACUUGGGGCGCAAGUAACCACUCAAAACACAUCUAUUUCAACAUCUGUUAUACAAAGAUAACAAUGGCACACUAAGCUUGUUGUUAGUUUUGAUUGCGAGCCUCAAGGCCUAAAUCUAAAGCCCUACAAAGGCACAUUUCAAAACUAACUUUGUACUCUUCUUGUAGCACGCCAAGCAUAUGAUGCUACUUUAAGGACAUUUCACAUGUUGAACUAAUCUAGUUUAAUAUAAAGGGAAAAAAGUAUUGUUUAAAGCCGUCUCAUAUAAAUGUUAUAUGCUUAAACGAUAAGUCCAAGGAAUAUGUAAUUGCGAGAAUGCGAUCUAAAGAAGUUAGAUUCAUGAGACCAUUCUCUUUCUUAUACAUAUCCUAAAAGUUCCUGAUCAUAGGAUUGUCAAUU
rnacentral:lncRNA from 1 species